rnacentral:misc_RNA from 1 species
GGAAGUAAGAGUCGUAACAAGGUUUCCGUAGGUGAACCUGCGGAAGGAUCAUUAUUGCAUAACCGAGGUGCGAAGACUGUCACUUACCCUAAAGGUUCAGCACGAACGAGUGCCCUCACACACAAUCAUAACACCCCUAUCUGCAUCAUCGCGUGAGCCCCCCUCUGUCUUGUCCGGUGGGCUCCCUACGUUUUCACACAAACCUUGUAUGAAGUGUAGAAUGCAUUUUUUGAUUUUCCUCUCACGCAAUCAAAACAACUUUCAACAUCGGAUCACUUUGCUCUC